GCGGCCACAGCAAGACGAGCGAUGACUAUUUUUUUUAAAUAUACACAAAUACAGCACUACGCACCCCAAAGCGCCCUUUGGCUCCCAGGACACAGGGCUGUGUUUAAGACAACAGCAUAGGAGCUCAUGACAAGACUAAUUAGGAGCACAAGGGGAGUAUGCAGGCUCAGGACCGAGAGUUUGACAAUGAAUUAAGACCUGGGGCUUUGGGAUACUGAAAUUUGUCAACAAAAUUAACAUUCCCUUUCCUGGAAACUCUCAAGCUGAAGGAGUUUACGAGGACCUUAUUUUAAGUGUCCAACUUGGAGGGAAUUAUCAGAGAGAGAGAGCGAGAGACGGUAAAAACAAACAGUAGCCGCCAUCAGCCCCUUCAACAGCACUGUAAACCUAGCCAAGGAUGGGUUCCCGCCCACUGCUUCUCACAGCCGUUCUCCUCUGAUGCCUUCGCAGAUCGGAAUUUGGGGAAGGAGUGGCCUCCAUGACCUCAACAUCAGAAGCCUAGAGGGUCUUUGUGGCUUAAAGGGCUGUGACACGUGAAGUACUGGCUGCCGAUUGUAGAGGAGAGAUUCCUGGGCAAGUGCAGAGUUAUAUAGAGUGCCCUUUCUACCUGACACACGAAAGAAAUGAGCUGUAACAGACGCCAGCGGCAGGUGCAGGACCUGUGAGCUUCACUCACUGUGCCCCAGUGUUUGGGUUCCUGCGCUUUGAACCGCCUUACUUUAAGAAGCCUUGUCAUUGGAAAAUUGACCGCAGCUGAUGGCUUCUGUCAUUUGUGCUGUUGUUUGGAGGGCAGGGCUCUGCGUCGCUUUGUCAGGCCGCACAGGGAAUGCGCCACCUCCGGCCCGCACUGUCUGCCUACCCAGACCCACAAGGCUCCUCAAAGCCUCCUCACCAAGGGCUGACUCUUUUGCCUUGUUCUUUCUUUUUCUUUCUGUUUAUUCUUUCAAAACAUGUACUCCUUUUAGGCAGUUGCGAGAACUUCUACAAUAAUCUGUGUUCUAAAUUUUAGGAGCCACAAUAAAAAC
rnacentral:lncRNA from 1 species